rfam:Picea glauca, whole genome shotgun sequence.
ACAAAGGCUCUUUUGAGAGCCCUCUUAGUUUCAUUUUUCAAACAUAU